AUUGAACGCUGGCGGCAUGCUUUACACAUGCCAGUCGAACGGCAGCGCGGGCUUCGGCCUGGCGGCGAGUGGCGAACGGGUGAGUAAUACAUCGGAACGUGCCCAGUAGUGGGGGAUAGCUCGGCGAAAGCCGGAUUAAUACCGCAUACGACCUGAGGGUGAAAGCGGGGGAUCUUCGGACCUCGCGCUAUUGGAGCGGCCGAUGGCAGAUUAGCUAGUUGGUGGGGUAAAGGCCUACCAAGGCGACGAUCUGUAGCUGGUCUGAGAGGACGACCAGCCACACUGGGACUGAGACACGGCCCAGACUCCUACGGGAGGCAGCAGUGGGGAAUUUUGGACAAUGGGCGAAAGCCUGAUCCAGCAAUGCCGCGUGUGUGAUGAAGGUCUUCGGGUUGUAAAGCACUUUUGGCGGGAACGAAAAGGACUGUGCCAAUACCACGGUUCGAUGACGGUACCCGCAGAAUAAGCACCGGCUAACUACGUG
rnacentral:rRNA from 1 species